rnacentral:rRNA from 1 species
CCUACGGGUGGCAGCAGUGGGGAAUAUUGCACAAUGGGGGAAACCCUGAUGCAGCGACGCCGCGUGAGUGAAGAAGUAUUUCGGUAUGUAAAGCUCUAUCAGCAGGGAAGAAAUAACUACCUUUGGGUCGCCAGCCGGUACCUGACUAAGAAGCCCCGGCUAACUACGUGCCAGCAGCCGCGGUAAUACGUAGGGGGCAAGCGUUAUCCGGAUUUACUGGGUGUAAAGGGCGAGGAGACGGCAGCACAAGUCUGAAGUGAAAUGCCGGGGCUUAACCCCGGAACUGCUUUGGAAACUGUGCAGGUAGAGUGCAGGAGAGGUAGGUGGAAUUCCUAGUGUAGCGGUGAAAUGCGUAGAUAUUAGGAGGAACACCAGUGGCGAAGGCGGUUUACUGGACUGUAACUGACGUUGAGGCGCGAAAGCGUGGGGAGCAAACAGGAUUAGAUACCCUAGUAGUC